rnacentral:rRNA from 1 species
UUUAAAGAGAGUUUGAUCCUGGCUCAGGACGAACGCUGGCGGCGUGCCUAAUACAUGCAAGUCGAACGAACGGAGGAAGAGCUUGCUCUUCCAAAGUUAGUGGCGGACGGGUGAGUAACACGUGGGCAACCUGCCUGUAAGUUGGGGAUAACUCCGGGAAACCGGGGCUAAUACCGAAUGAUAAAGUUUG